rnacentral:rRNA from 1 species
AUUGAACGCUGGCGGCAGGCUUAACACAUGCAAGUCGAGCGGGGUGAUGGUGCUUGCACUAUCACUUAGCGGCGGACGGGUGAGUAAUGCUUAGGAAUCUGCCUAUUAGUGGGGGACAACAUCUCGAAAGGGAUGCUAAUACCGCAUACGUCCUACGGGAGAAAGCAGGGGAUCACUUGUGACCUUGCGCUAAUAGAUGAGCCUAAGUCGGAUUAGAUAGUUGGUGGGGUAAAGGCCUACCAAGGCGACGAUCUGUAGCGGGUCUGAGAGGAUGAGCCGCCACACUGGGACUGGUAACAGGCCCAGCAUCCUACGGGAGGCAGCAGUGGGGAAUAGUGGACAAUGGGGGGAACCCUGAUCCAGCCAUGCCGCGUGUGUGAAGAAGGCCUUAUGGUUGUAAAGCACUUUAAGCGAGGAGGAGGCUCUUUUGGUUAAUACCCAAGAUGAGUGGACGUUACUCGCAGAAUAAGCACCGGCUAACCCUGUGCCAGCCGCCGCAGUAA